CUGGGUUAGUCGGGUCCUAAGCUGAGGCCGACAGGCGUAGGCGAUGGAUAACAGGUUGAUAUUCCUGUACCACCUAUAAUCGUUUUAAUCGAUGGGGGGACGCAGUAGGAUAGGCGAAGCGUGCGAUUGGAUUGCACGUCUAAGCAGUAAGGCUGAGUAUUAGGCAAAUCCGGUACUCGUUAAGGCUGAGCUGUGAUGGGGAGAAGACAUUGUGUCUUCGAGUCGUUGAUUUCACACUGCCGAGAAAAGCCUCUAGAUAGAAAAUAGGUGCCCGUACCGCAAACCGACACAGGUAGUCAAGAUGAGAAUUCUAAGGUGAGCGAGCGAACUCUCGUUAAGGAACUCGGCAAAAUGACCCCGUAACUUCGGGAGAAGGGGUGCUCUUUAGGGUUAACGCCCAGAAGAGCCGCAGUGAAUAGGCCCAAGCGACUGUUUAUCAAAAACACAGGUCUCUGCUAAACCGUAAGGUGAUGUAUAGGGGCUGACGCCUGCCCGGUGCUGGAAGGUUAAGAGGAGUGGUUAGCUUCUGCGAAGCUACGAAUCGAAGCCCCAGUAAACGGCGGCCGUAACUAUAACGGUCCUAAGGUAGCGAAAUUCCUUGUCGGGUAAGUUCCGACCCGCACGAAAGGCGUAACGAUUUGGGCACUGUCUCAACGAGAGACUCGGUGAAAUCAUAGUACCUGUGAAGAUGCAGGUUACCCGCGACAGGACGGAAAGACCCCGUGGAGCUUUACUGUAGCCUGAUAUUGAAAUUCGGCACAGCUUGUACAGGAUAGGUAGGAGCCUUUGAAACGUGAGCGCUAGCUUACGUGGAGGCGCUGGUGGGAUACUACCCUAGCUGUGUUGGCUUUCUAACCCGCACCACUUAUCGUGGUGGGAGACAGUGUCAGGCGGGCAGUUUGACUGGGGCGGUCGCCUCCUAAAAGGUAACGGAGGCGCUCAAAGGUUCCCUCAGAAUGGUUGGAAAUCAUUCAUAGAGUGUAAAGGCAUAAGGGAGCUUGACUGCGAGACCUACAAGUCGAGCAGGGUCGAAAGACGGACUUAGUGAUCCGGUGGUUCCGCAUGGAAGGGCCAUCGCUCAACGGAUAAAAGCUACCCCGGGGAUAACAGGCUUAUCUCCCCCAAGAGUUCACAUCGACGGGGAGGUUUGGCACCUC
rnacentral:rRNA from 1 species